GGGUUGUGAGGUUAAGCGACUAAGCGUACACGGUGGAUGCCUAGGCAGUCAGAGGCGAUGAAGGGCGUGCUAAUCUGCGAAAAGCGUCGGCAAGGUGAUAUGAACCGUUAUACCCGACGAUACCCGAAUGGGGAAACCCAGUGUGUUUCGACACACUAUCAUGGCAUGAAUACAUAGUGUCAUGAGGCGAACCGGGGGGAACUGAAACAUCUCAGUACCCCGAGGAAAAGAAAUCAACCGAGAUUCCCCCCAGUAGCGGCGAGCGAACGGGGGAGGAGCCCAGAACCUGAAUCGGCUUGUGUGUUAGUGGAAGCGUCUGGAAAGUCGCACGAUACAGGGUGACAGUCCCGUACACAAAAAUGCACAAGUUGUGAGUUCGAUGAGUAGGGCGGGACACGUGGUAUCCUGUCUGAACAUGGGGGGACCAUCCUCCAAGGCUAAAUACUCCUGACUGACCGAUAGUGAACCAGUACCGUGAGGGAAAGGCGAAAAGAACCCCGGCGAGGGGAGUGAAACAGAACCUGAAACCGUGUACGUACAAGCAGUGGGAGCCCUGAUUUAUCAGGGUGACUGCGUACCUUUUGUAUAAUGGGUCAGCGACUUAUAUUCUGUAGCAAGGUUAACCGCAUAGGGGAGCCGCAGGGAAACCGAGUCUUAACUGGGCGUUAAGUUGCAGGGUAUAGACCCGAAACCCGGUGAUCUAGCCAUGGGCAGGUUGAAGGUUGGGUAACACUAACUGGAGGACCGAACCGACUAAUGUUGAAAAAUUAGCGGAUGACUUGUGGCUGGGGGUGAAAGGCCAAUCAAACCGGGAGAUAGCUGGUUCUCCCCGAAAGCUAUUUAGGUAGCGCCUCGUGAAGUCAUCUUCGGGGGGUAGAGCACUGUUUCGGCUAGGGGGGCCAUCCCGGCUUACCAACCCGAUGCAAACUGCGAAUACCGAAGAAUGUUAUCACGGGAGACACACGGCGGGUGCUAACGUCCGUCGUGAAGAGGGAAACAACCCAGACCGCCAGCUAAGGUCCCAAAGUCAUGGUUAAGUGGGAAACGAUGUGGGAAGGCCCAGACAGCCAGGAUGUUGGCUUAGAAGCAGCCAUCAUUUAAAGAAAGCGUAAUAGCUCACUGGUCGAGUCGGCCUGCGCGGAAGAUGUAACGGGGCUAAAACCAUGCACCGAAGCUGCGGCAGCGACGUUUAGGCGUUGUUGGGUAGGGGAGCGUUCUGUAAGCCGUUGAAGGUGGCCUGUGAGGGCUGCUGGAGGUAUCAGAAGUGCGAAUGCUGACAUAAGUAACGAUAAUGCGGGUGAAAAACCCGCACGCCGGAAGACCAAGGGUUCCUGUCCAACGUUAAUCGGGGCAGGGUGAGUCGACCCCUAAGGCGAGGCUGAAAAGCGUAGUCGAUGGGAAACAGGUUAAUAUUCCUGUACUCGGUGUUACUGCGAAGGGGACGGAGACGGCUAUGUCAUCCGGGCGACGGUUGUCCCGGUUUAAGCGUGCAGGUGGGUGGACCAGGCAAAUCCGGUCUGCUGUCAACACUGAGGCGUGAUGACGAGGCACUACGGUGCUGAAGUGACAGAUGCCCUGCUUCCAGGAAAAGCCUCUAAGCAUCAGGUAACAGUGAAUCGUACCCCAAACCGACACAGGUGGUCAGGUAGAGAAUACUCAGGCGCUUGAGAGAACUCGGGUGAAGGAACUAGGCAAAAUGGUGCCGUAACUUCGGGAGAAGGCACGCUGGGCAUGGUGAAGUCCCUUGCGGACGGAGCCGGGCCCAGUCGCAGAUACCAGCUGGCUGCAACUGUUUAAUAAAAACACAGCACUGUGCAAACACGAAAGUGGACGUAUACGGUGUGACGCCUGCCCGGUGCCGGAAGGUUAAUUGAUGGGGUUAUCCGCAAGGAGAAGCUCUUGAUCGAAGCCCCGGUAAACGGCGGCCGUAACUAUAACGGUCCUAAGGUAGCGAAAUUCCUUGUCGGGUAAGUUCCGACCUGCACGAAUGGCGUAAUGAUGGCCAGGCUGUCUCCACCCGAGACUCAGUGAAAUUGAACUCGCUGUGAAGAUGCAGUGUACCCGCGGCAAGACGGAAAGACCCCGUGAACCUUUACUAUAGCUUGACACUGAACCUUGAACCUUGAUGUGUAGGAUAGGUGGGAGGCUGAGAAAUGUGGACGCCAGUCUGCAUGGAGCCGACCUUGAAAUACCACCCUUUAAUGUUUGAUGUUCUAACGUGGGCCCGUAAACCGGGUUGCGGACAGUGUCUGGUGGGUAGUUUGACUGGGGCGGUCUCCUCCCAAAGCGUAACGGAGGAGCACGAAGGUUAGCUAAUCCUGGUCGGACAUCAGGAGGUUAGUGCAAAGGCAUAAGCUAGCUUGACUGCGAGAGUGACGGCUCGAGCAGGUGCGAAAGCAGGUCUUAGUGAUCCGGUGGUUCUGAAUGGAAGGGCCAUCGCUCAACGGAUAAAAGGUACUCCGGGGAUAACAGGCUGAUACCGCCCAAGAGUUCAUAUCGACGGCGGUGUUUGGCACCUCGAUGUCGGCUCAUCACAUCCUGGGGCUGAAGUAGGUCCCAAGGGUAUGGCUGUUCGCCAUUUAAAGUGGUACGCGAGCUGGGUUUAGAACGUCGUGAGACAGUUCGGUCCCUAUCUGCCGUGGGCGUUGGAAGAUUGAGGGGGGUUGCUCCUAGUACGAGAGGACCGGAGUGAACGCACCGCUGGUGUUCGGGUUGUCAUGCCAAUGGCACUGCCCGGUAGCUACGUGCGGAAGAGAUAACCGCUGAAAGCAUCUAAGCGGGAAACUUGCCCCGAGAUGAGUCUUCCCUGGGCCCUUGAGGCCCCUGAAGGGACGUUCGAGACGAGGACGUUGAUAGGCUGGGUGUGUAAGCGUAGCGAUACGUUGAGCUAACCAGUACUAAUGACCCGAGAGGCUUAACCUUACAACACCGAAGGUGUUU
rnacentral:rRNA from 1 species